UAUAGUAGCAAUACUAGAGACCGGCGCACGGGUGCGUAACGCGUAUGCAAUCUACCUUUUACAGAGGGAUAGCCCAGAGAAAUUUGGAUUAAUACCUCAUAGUAUAUAUCAUUCGCAUGUUUGACAUAUUAAAGUUCCAACGGUAAAAGAUGAGCAUGCGUCCCAUUAGCUAGUUGGUGUGGUAACGGCACACCAAGGCAACGAUGGGUAGGGGUCCUGAGAGGGAGAUCCCCCACACUGGUACUGAGACACGGACCAGACUCCUACGGGAGGCAGCAGUGAGGAAUAUUGGACAAUGGGCGCAAGCCUGAUCCAGCCAUGCCGCGUGCAGGAAGACGCAUCUAUGGUGUGUAAACUGCUUUUGUACGGGAAGAAACACUCCUACGUGUAGGAGCUUGACGGUACCGUAAGAAUAAGGAUCGGCUAACUCCGUGCCAGCAGCCGCGGUAAUACGGAGGAUCCAAGCGUUAUCCGGAAUCAUUGGGUUUAAAGGGUCCGUAGGCGGUUUAAU
rnacentral:rRNA from 1 species